rnacentral:rRNA from 1 species
UACGGGGGGGGCAAGCGUUGUUCGGAAUUACUGGGCGUAAAGGGCUCGUAGGCGGCCAACUAAGUCAGACGUGAAAUCCCUCGGCUUAACCGGGGAACUGCGUCUGAUACUGGAUGGCUUGAAUCCGGGAGAGGGAUGCGGAAUUCCAGGUGUAGCGGUGAAAUGCGUAGAUAUCUGGAGGAACACCGGUGGCGAAAGCGACAUCCUGGACCGGUAUUGACGCUGAGUGAGCGAAAGCCAGGGGAGCAAACGGG